UACAAAUUACAGAAAAGUGAGUGCUGGUU
rnacentral:piRNA from 1 species